rnacentral:rRNA from 2 species
UGGGGAAUAUUGGACAAUGGGCGCAAGCCUGAUCCAGCCAUGCCGCGUGAGUGAUGACGGCCUUAGGGUUGUAAAGCUCUUUUACCUGGGAAGAUAAUGACGGUACCAGGAGAAUAAGCCCCGGCUAACUUCGUGCCAGCAGCCGCGGUAAUACGAAGGGGGCUAGCGUUGUUCGGAUUUACUGGGCGUAAAGGGCGCGUAGGCGGACCUGUAAGUCAGGGGUGAAAUCCCAAGGCUCAACCUUGGAACUGCCUUUGAUACUGUGGGUCUUGAGUCCGGGAGAGGUGAGUGGAACUGCGAGUGUAGAGGUGAAAUUCGUAGAUAUUCGCAAGAACACCAGUGGCGAAGGCGGCUCACUGGCCCGGAACUGACGCUGAGGCGCGAAAGCGUGGGGAGCAAACAGG